rnacentral:ncRNA from 2 species
GUAUAAUGGCGGCGUUUUGGUGCCCGCGUCCAUGUCCAUGGAUGCAGUUAAACGGGAAACACAAGGCAGCCAGCGCUCAUCGGCAGCGCGGCGGCCAAGGUGUGCUGCCCCCGCAACGGUACGCAAGCGCCGCGCCCGGAUUUCCGGUUCGCGCGGCAGGCUGGAUCGACAACCACUGUGCAGCAGCGUCUGCGCCGGAAGGUGAUCCCGUCCCGUCUUGCCAGCCCGGAUACCGGCCAAUCCAGGUGGAAGCGC